AGUCAGGCUGCCAAAAUCCUGACAAUCAGAGAGAUCAUGCUGAGGACCAAUUUCAGCUGGAAAGCACAAAGCUUCAUUGGGCUGUUUCAAAGUUCAUGCAGCUUUAGCACUAAUCCUCUUAACAUAUUAGGCCAAGUGACGCAGGUACCAUGAUGGCAGUGGCAUAAAAGCCCCUUCAAUUUUUAUUUACAUCUCUUUGCAUGGUAGAAUGCAAGCCAAUUCAUUCUUCUCUGAGAUGCCUCCUCACCAUCCUGCCCUGCCCCAAGGCAUUUGAAAUUGAAGGCCAAAAAUGCUUAGACUAACAUGUUUGCAGAUUUUACAUAACACUGCUUUCCCCAAGCAUUGGAACUCUUGCAGCAUGUUGGCUUAGUGAUUCCUGGUUUGUUGCUGUAUUUUUUUCCUUCUGCAAAGGAUAACAUCUUGGCUGUAGACAAGGUCCCCAAUCCUAGCUUGCUGGCCCAAAUCCAAUGAUCGGUGUCCUUAUGAGAAGAGGGAAAUUUGGACACAGACACCCAGGGAAGAACUCUCACGAUGAUGACAGAGAACGGAGUGAGGCGUCUACAAGCCAAAGAAUGCCAAGGAUUCCCAAGAACCACAAGAAACUGGGAAGGAGCCAUAGAACAAAUUCCUCCUCAGCCUCCAAAAGGAAUAAAUCCUGCUGACACCUUGAUUUCAGACCUCAGGCCGCAGGAACUGUGAGACCAUAAAUUCUUGUUGUUUUAAGCCACCCAAUUUGUGGUCAUUUGUUACUGCGGCCCUGGAGAACGAAUAUAUCCUAUCUCCAAUUCUUGGACUAGGUGAUGAAAGAGAAGCUUUCAGAUUGAACAUAGUCCAAAGACGCUGGGAGAGACACAGAAUGCAGUGAGUAGUCAGCACACACUGCUCUCAACCAUAAAUUAUUCCUUUCCAACCCUAUUAAACUAGCUUCAAUUUUGUAACAAAUGAUAACAGCCAAGAUCUCUUUCUGUGACUACUUCUAUAAGUCGUGCCAGCUGAAGGAGGUUCUAUAAGCCAUACACUGAAGAGGUACCUGUCAGUUGAAAUGAUUUUCUCCAGGUCAAUGCCUUUGUUAGAACAGAUGACAAUCAAACCCCACCUCCUUUCUGGCUAUGGCAAAGAACAAUUCACAUGUGUUAUCCAUUGUCUUUUACAUUUGUCAAAAAUGAAAGCACAGCCACCAGAAAACGACAUUAUCCUGGUUAUAGAUGUGGCUAAAUUUUUACAUGGUCUAGUAUUUUUUGGCACUCUGUAAUGUGGGACCAUAAGCAAUGAGUGUUUUAAAAACAUGCCAUCAGUAAUGCAUCCAAAGAGUGCCA